rnacentral:lncRNA from 1 species
CAGUAUCACGUGAAGAGAUACUAGCAAAAGUUGUUCAAAGAAAAAAUCCGACAAGGUCAAAUAAAAAUAGGAAGAUACAUAGUAGUUUAGCGUAAAGAAGAGGCAAUUUAAAUGCAACUAACUCUUAGACUAAAAGCUAAAACUAUAGGUUGUCACAUGCGAGAGAAAGAGAAAUUGGAUAAUGAUAGGUUUUCAUAAUCAUGAGAUUCGUCUGUUAACAAAGAAAUAAUCCGACAAGGUCAAAUAAAAAUAGGAAGAUACAUAGUAGUUUAGCGUAAAGAAGAGGCAAUUUAAAUGCAACUAACUCUUAGACUAAAAGCUAAAACUAUAGGUUGUCACAUGCGAGAGAAAGAGAAAUUGGAUAAUGAUAGGUUUUCAUAAUCAUGAGAUUCGUCUGUUAUUAUUUUUUUAUGACCAAUAAAUCCCGAGGGCCGGUGGUGCAUGGUUUGAAACUCUAUCGAUAAUGGGCCCUCCCCUCUACCCUUCUCCACUUAAAUACCAUGCUUUUGUCUACAGCAUUGUUCGAGCAUGUGACAUGCGCUAACCUAUGCAUCACAUUCUGAGCUCUUACCAUUAGACCAAAGCCCUGGGGGCGAGAUUCUUCUGCAGAUCUUUUAUUUGUCUAUCUUUGAUAUUUCAAUAGUUAUAUUUAGUAUUAUUGGACAGAAGACUUUGAAUGCAACCAAACACUUGGAACAAUGUCACUAGCAUAAAGCUAUGAUCUCUA